UCCAGCAGCCAUAUCACUCACAACUCACAACUGGCAACCAAUUGAAGCUAAGCAGGUGUGAGGCUGGUCAGUACCUGGAUGGGAGACCUCCUGGGAAAAAAACUAAGGUAGCUGCUGGAA
rnacentral:rRNA from 1 species